rnacentral:lncRNA from 1 species
GAAUUAUUCAGGUAUUGCAAGACUUAUGUCCUGCGUGUUCCUCGACUCAUUUGUGGUGUGCCUGCUCUUCUGCAUAUGGUUCUGGUGUAAACAAAAAUGGUUCUGUAGUAAGUUCCUCCUGCACUGUUUGUCGGUUAUCAGAGGUUGAGGGUUUGCUUACGACACUGCAGAUCUCUCGCUUUGACGACCAUUGGCUAUGUUCAGACUUUUCUUAUCCUGCUGCUUUUGUUUGUAACAUGUAGCGACUUAGGUUGUGUUAUCAAGUCAUUUGGCCGUGCUUAAACAUGUACUCGCAUCACGAUUUGAAACGCAUAUGUAUCGGUCGAUCUUGAAACAACUGAUUUGUAUGUUGUAAUGUUAGUUUGAAAAAUGAAAAAAUGUAAUUUUAAUGUGUGAACAUGUUUUGCCAAUAUAUUGUAC